rnacentral:rRNA from 1 species
CAGCACCUCAAGUGGUCAGGAUGAUUAUUGGGCCUAAAGCAUCCGUAGCCGGCUCUGUAAGUUUUCGGUUAAAUCUGUACGCUCAACGUACAGGCUGCCGGGAAUACUGCAGAGCUAGGGAGUGGGAGAGGUAGACGGUACUCGGUAGGAAGGGGUAAAAUCCUUUGAUCUAUUGAUGACCACCUGUGGCGAAGGCGGUCUACCAGAACACGUCCGACGGUGAGGGAUGAAAGCUGGGAGAGCAAACCGGAUUAGAUACCCGAGUAGUCC